GAGUUUUUGGAGGACAAUUGUUUCGCAGGUGGUGAUACUGUAAGCACAAAUGCUACAAUUGGAGAUGGACAGGAAGAUGGUCUUUCUCUGUACCAAACGGCUCGUUUUGGCAACUUCUUGUACUGUUUUCCUGCACUGGAACCAGGGAAUUAUGCUGUGAGUCUGCAUUUUGCGGAAAUUGUAUUCACAGACGGUCCUCCUGGAAUGAGAGUGUUUGAUGUUUUUAUACAACAGAAAAAGGCUGUUUCCUGCCUAGACAUAUAUGCUGAAGUAGAUGCAAAUAAGCCCCUGGUUAUAUCUGACCUAAAGACUUGUGUUUAUGGUGAGGAUGGCUUAUCCAUUAGGUUUGAAGGAGUAAUUGGAAGCCCAAUCAUAUGUGGCAUUUCUAUAACCAAAGAUUCUUCUGCUUACGCUGGAGAAGCUCAAUUGUUGAAACGAAUGGGAAUAUCUGAAGUGGCAGAAUGCAACUCACCCAAACAAGAUAAUGGUGGCCGAGAAGUGAAGGGAGAUUCCCAGGAGCUACUUAGACAUGUUGAGUUUCAGAAAAGGGAACUAAAAGAGAUGAUGAGGGCAUUGGAGGAGCUUAAAAGGGAAAACCAACUUAAGAAUAGGGAAUGCCAAGAUGCUUGGAAGUCCUUACAGGAGCUACAGAAUGAGCUUAUGCGCAAGUCUAUG
rnacentral:misc_RNA from 1 species